CAGGGAGACAACAACUGAUCGUGAUGUCUGAGAUAUUUACUCUUAGGCCAUGAUCCUGUCACCUUAGGUCGAUCGGUACCUCAAGCUAAGAAUCAAUGAAGGUUGAGAAAUCAAUUUUUUAUUUUGGUAAUUAACUUCAGUUCCUAAACUUUGUCUAGGUCACACCCAGCAAGGGUACUCCUGGGCCAUUAGCUCAGGUGGUUAGAGCGCACCCCUGAUAAGGGCGAGGUCCCUGGUUCAAGUCCAGGAUGGCCCAUUCGUUGUUGGGGGUAUAGCUCAGUUGGUAGAGCGCCUGCUUUGCAAGCAGGAUGUCAGCGGCUCGAGUCCGCUUACCUCCACUGAUUCUCCUCCUGACUUCGUACUCAUAGGAGGUCCUUCUUGCUAGAGGUGUCUUAGACUUGAUUUAACUGGCCGAACCUAGCUUCUUAUCAUUCCAACCUCCAUUUUUUAAAUUGAGAAAGGUUGAUAUGACGCUGGGCUCACUAGGAUUCUUAAGAGUUCUAGUUAAGUUCAGUAGAACCUUGAAAACUGCAUAGGUAAGUCUGGAAAAGAAUAAAGCAUCUCAUGGAUGCAUUAACUCUAAAUUCAAAUUAUUUUUGAUCAUUAGAUUAAUGUUGAUUCUUGAGCAAGAGCCGAGACUCUAUAAUUAUUUUUGAAGGAUUUAAUCUUUCAAAAUUUUUAUUAUUGAUUAAAAGUUAAACCUUAUUAAUCUAUAAUAAGAGCGUUAUAAAGCGCGAUUAAUUGUAGAGAUUAUU
rnacentral:tRNA from 1 species